CUACGGGAUGCAGCAGUGAGGAAUUUUGCGCAAUGGGGGAAACCCUGACGCAGCAACGCCGCGUGGGUGAAGAAGGCCUUCGGGUCGUAAAGCCCUGUCAGGUGGGAAGAAUGUCCCAGGGGUGAAUAGUCUUUGGGAGUGACGGUACCACCAGAGGAAGCACCGGCUAACUCCGUGCCAGCAGCCGCGGUAAUACGGAGGGUGCGAGCGUUGUUCGGAAUCAUUGGGCGUAAAGGGCGUGCAGGUGGUUGGGUAAGUCUGAUGUGAAAGUCCGGGGCUCAACCCCGGAAGUGCAUUGGGAAACUGUCCGACUUGAGUACCGGAGAGGAUGGGGGAAUUCCCGGUGUAGAGGUGAAAUUCGUAGAGAUCGGGAGGAAUACCAGUGGCGAAGGCGCCCAUCUGGACGGAUACUGACGCUGAGACGCGAAAGCGUGGGGAGCAAACAGGAUUAGAUACCCUUGUAGUC
rnacentral:rRNA from 1 species